CCUACGGGAGGCAGCAGUAGGGAAUCUUCGGCAAUGGACGGAAGUCUGACCGAGCAACGCCGCGUGAGUGAAGAAGGUUUUCGGAUCGUAAAGCUCUGUUGUAAGAGAAGAACGAGUGUGAGAGUGGAAAGUUCACACUGUGACGGUAUCUUACCAGAAAGGGACGGCUAACUACGUGCCAGCAGCCGCGGUAAUACGUAGGUCCCGAGCGUUGUCCGGAUUUAUUGGGCGUAAAGCGAGCGCAGGCGGUUAGAUAAGUCUGAAGUUAAAGGCUGUGGCUUAACCAUAGUACGCUUUGGAAACUGUUUAACUUGAGUGCAAGGGGGGAGAGUGGAAUUCCAUGUGUAGCGGUGAAAUGCGUAGAUAUAUGGAGGAACACCGGUGGCGAAAGCGGCUCUCUGGCUUGUAACUGACGCUGAGGCUCGAAAGCGUGGGGAGCAAACAGGAUUAGAUACCCUGGUAGUC
rnacentral:rRNA from 1 species